rnacentral:rRNA from 1 species
AACGAACGCUGGCGGCAUGCCUAACACAUGCAAGUCGAACGAGACCUUCGGGUCUAGUGGCGCACGGGUGCGUAACGCGUGGGAACCUGCCCUUAGGUUCGGAAUAACUCCCCGAAAGGGGUGCUAAUACCGGAUAAUGUCUUCGGACCAAAGAUUUAUCGCCUUUGGAUGGGCCCGCGUUGGAUUAGCUAGUUGGUAGGGUAAAAGCCUACCAAGGCGACGAUCCAUAGCUGGUCUGAGAGGAUGAUCAGCCACACUGGGACUGAGACACGGCCCAGACUCCUACGGGAGGCAGCAGUGGGGAAUAUUGGACAAUGGGCGAAAGCCUGAUCCAGCAAUGCCGCGUGAGUGAUGAAGGCCUUGGGGUUGUAAAGCUCUUUUACCCGGGAUGAUAAUGACAGUACCGGGAGAAUAAGCUCCGGCUAACUCCGUG